UGGAGGGAGUGAUCAUGAAGUCCACUCCUCCUCCUCCUCCUCCAGUGUUUAUUCGUGUCAGCGAGCGUGACCUGACAGAGAUUGAGCUCCAUUCCGUCGACUCCAUCAAUGACCUGCACCGCACACACUCUGAACAGCACAGCAAAGGUAUUUCAUCAUGUCAGAGACUGUAUGUAUGACUUUAAAUUCCUCCUUGGUUUCUAUAGCACUCAAACCCACUUCUCACUGGCAGGUGUUCAGCCACCCCGUCCACCACCUCCUACCUCCAAUGGAAAUCUUCAGAUGCAAGAUCGAGGAGUUGUCUAUCAAACAGGUCAACCAGUGAGAAGGCCCUGUGUGAGCAGACUGAAUGACAUAUGCACCUCCACUAGGCGGCACUAUUUUUUAGCAAGUGCAGCCAUUAUUGCGUUCCUCCUUACUCUCAUUCUUAUCUUCAGUUUUUUAGUCCAGCAGAGCAGUGCUCUCCACACACUUUUGGAGAUGGUGAAACAGAAAAAGGAAGCAGCUGAAGAAAUUUCCCAACUCUUACAAGAGCUGCAAAAGCUGCACAUCAACCACACAGAGCAGCGACCAUAACAAAAAAUAUUUCAACAUAGACCCGCAGGAGAAACAUUACUGCACUGUGACAACACUGAGAGAAGAGCACCGAUUACUUCACAUCAAUGUGUGAUUCUAUGUCUUAAAGGCUUCUAUUGCCUCGGUGGAAUCUAAUAUCUUGCUCAAAAACAUUCACUUAGCCUCCUGAUGUUUGUGCAGUGUAACUUGAAAAUAAUGUGUUAAUUAAUGGACUUUUCACCAGUAUUAUUUUGUACACUUACAUGGUCACACACUAUUUGGCAACUUGUUAUAUUAGUUUCACUAAAGCAAAUGACAAUACAAAACAACACUAAGAAAUAUGGAAAGAAUGUGAAUAAUCAUACUUGUUAUUAUAUUUUAAUUCCUUGUUAUCACUCCAGACAAACAUUAAAUUGUGCUAAAAAAUUGUGAAUGAGCUAGAACAUUCACUAUGGUGAGCUUUUUUUGAGUGAUUGCCGAAUGAUUGUAAAUAAUUAUAUAGACUAUAACAUUCUAUUUAAUAAGAAAAAAAAAGAAAUUUUAAAAUAAGAAUAAAAAAUAAACAAAUGAAAACGUUCUUACA
ensembl:lncRNA